UACGGAGGGGGCGAGCGUUAUUCGGAAUCAUUGGGCGUAAAGGGCGCGUAGGCGGCCCGGUAAGUCAAAGGUGAAAUCCCUCGGCUCAACUGAGGAACUGCCUUUGAAACUGUCGGGCUUGAGGCCGGGAGGGGGUGGCGGAAUUCCCAGUGUAGCGGUGAAAUGCGUAGAUAUUGGGAGGAACACCGGUGGCGAAGGCGGCCAUCUGGACGGAUACUGACGCUGAGACGCGAAAGCGUGGGGAGCAAACAGG
rnacentral:rRNA from 1 species